UAGAAUCACCCAACCAUGGGUUUCCAUAUUUCUGUCCAUCAUGCAGACCCAAACUGGACAAAUAUAUUGCCCUGUUUCUGAGGUCUUAAC